AUGAACGCUGGCGGCGUGCCUAAUACAUGCAAGUCGAGCGAACGGACGAGAAGAUUGCUUCUCUGAUGUUAGCGGCGGACGGGUGAGUAACACGUGGAUAACCUACCUAUAAGACUGGGAUAACUUCGGGAAACCGGAGCUAAUACCGGAUAAUAUUUUGAACCGCAUGGUUCAAAAGUGAAAGACGGUCUUGCUGUCACUUAUAGAUGGAUCCGCGCUGCAUUAGCUAGUUGGUAAGGUAACGGCUUACCAAGGCAACGAUGCAUAGCCGACCUGAGAGGGUGAACCGCCACACAUGAACGUAGACACGGUCCAAACUCCUAAGGGAGGAAGCAGUAGGGAAACUUCCACAAUGGGCGGAAUCCUGACGGAGCAACGCCGCGGGAGUGAUGAAGGUCUUCGGAUCGUAAAACUCUGUUAUUAGGGAAGAACAUAUGUGUAAGUAACUGUGCACAUCUUGACGUUACCUAAUCAGAAAGCCACGGCUAACUACGUG
rnacentral:rRNA from 1 species